UGUGUAGGCGGAUUGGUAAGUCAGGUGUGAAAGCCUUGGGCUCAACCCAAGAAGAGCAUUUGAUACUGCCAUUCUAGAAUUCAGGAGAGGAAGAUGGAAUUCCCGGUGUAGAGGUGAAAUCCGUAGAUAUCGGGAGGAACACCAGAGGCGAAGGCGGUCUUCUGGACUGAUAUUGACGCUGAGACACGAAAGCGUGGGUAGCAAACAGGAUUAGAUACCCUGGUAGUCCACGCCCUAAACGAUGGUUACUAGAUGAGGUGGGAUUUGACCCCUGCCGUAUCGAAGCUAACGCGAUAAGUAACCCGCCUGGGGAGUACGGCCGCAAGGCUAAA
rnacentral:rRNA from 1 species